AGAGAAAUGACUGAGAGGUUUAUAGUUAUAAAUUGCUAAUUUAUUGUAUAUAUAAUAAUAUUAUACCAAGGGUUCGAAUCCCUUUUUCUCUA
rfam:Plasmodium falciparum IGH-CR14 apicoplast scaffold Supercontig_2.851, whole genome shotgun sequence.